ACGAACGCUGGCGGCUUGCUUAACCCAUGCAAGUCGAACGGAAAGGCCCUGCUUUUGUGGGGUGCUCGAGUGGCGAACGGGUGAGUAACACGUGAGUAACCUGCCCUUGACUUUGGGAUAACUUCAGGAAACUGGGGCUAAUACCGGAUAGGAGCUCCUGCUGCAUGGUGGGGGUUGGAAAGUUUCGGCGGUUGGGGAUGGACUCGCGGCUUAUCAGCUUGUUGGUGGGGUAGUGGCUUACCAAGGCUUUGACGGGUAGCCGGCCUGAGAGGGUGACCGGCCACAUUGGGACUGAGAUACGGCCCAGACUCCUACGGGAGGCAGCAGUGGGGAAUAUUGCACAAUGGGCGGAAGCCUGAUGCAGCAACGCCGCGUGCGGGAUGACGGCCUUCGGGUUGUAAACCGCUUUCGCCUGUGACGAAGCGUGAGUGACGGUAAUGGGUAAAGAAGCACCGGCUAACUACGUG
rnacentral:rRNA from 1 species